CCUACGGGAGGCAGCAGUGAGGAAUAUUGGACAAUGGGCGCAAGCCUGAUCCAGCCAUGCCGCGUGCAGGAUGAAGCAUCUAUGGUGUGUAAACUGCUUUUAUACAGGAAGAAACCUCCCGACGUGUCGGGAAUUGACGGUACUGUAAGAAUAAGGAUCGGCUAACUCCGUGCCAGCAGCCGCGGUAAUACGGAGGAUCCAAGCGUUAUCCGGAAUCAUUGGGUUUAAAGGGUCCGUAGGCGGGCCAGUAAGUCAGUGGUGAAAUCUCUCCGCUCAACGGGGAAAUGGCCAUUGAUACUGCUGGUCUUGAAUUAUUAGGAAGUAACUAGAAUAUGUAGUGUAGCGGUGAAAUGCUUAGAGAUUACAUGGAAUACCAAUUGCGAAGGCAGGUUACUACUAAUGGAUUGACGCUGAUGGACGAAAGCGUGGGUAGCGAACAGGAUUAGAUACCCUGGUAGUCCACGCCGUAAACGAUGGAUACUAGCUGUUGGGGGCAACUUCAGUGGCUAAGCGAAAGUGAUAAGUAUCCCACCUGGGGAGUACGUUCGCAAGAAUGAAACUUAAAGGAAAUUGACGG
rnacentral:rRNA from 1 species